rnacentral:rRNA from 1 species
UACGUAGGGUCCGAGCGUUGUCCGGAAUUAUUGGGCGUAAAGAGCUCGUAGGCGGUCUGUCGCGUCGGCUGUGAAAACCUGAGGCUCAACCUCAGGCCUGCAGUCGAUACGGGCGGACUUGAGUACUGCAGGGGAGACUGGAAUUCCUGGUGUAGCGGUGAAAUGCGCAGAUAUCAGGGGGAACACCGGUGGCGAAGGCGGGUCUCUGGGCAGUAACUGACGCUGAGGAGCGAAAGCGUGGGGAGCGAACAGG